UGAAAGCACUCCAGUGGACUUUGGGUACUUUGAUUAUUUUCUUUGGUGAGGCAGCUCUCUGUGGAGAAAAGCUGAGCUGAGGCAGUGCUGUGUGUAAGAAGGCGCAGAGGGAUGAGCGUUGGUGUCGCUCUGCGGAGCCCGGUAUCAUAGAAUCGUUUGAGUUGGAAGGGACCCUUAAAGGCCAUCAAGUCCAACUCACCUGCAAUGAAUAGUGACACCUACAUCUAGAUCAGGGUGCACAGAGACCCUCCAGCCUGACCUUGGAUGUCUACAAUGAUGGAACAAUCACCAUGUGCCAUUUUACUGCAAGGCGACAUUUAGCAUGACUGGUGCCCUGUGAUCCACUCUGUAUAGAAACAUAGGCAUGCCAGUGAUAUUUCCGAGCUGAAGGAAUAGGUGCUAUCUCUGGGAGAGCUGUUUAACCUUCAACACCCAUGGACAACUUCCCCCCUCCUCACCUCCCUUCUGAGGGCUUCACCCUUAGCCAUAAUUGGAGAAAAAAUCUGGAGAGGGGCUGAAGGCUGCAUGGUGAAGACAGACUUCUAAGAAGACAACUAUCAAGUUGGAAGGAAGUGUUGAUCUUCCUGAGGAUAGGAAGGCCCUGCAGAGGGAUCUGGGCACGCUGGAUCAAUGGACUGAGGCCAAUUGUGUGAACUUCAACAUGACUAAGUCUGGGUCCUGCACUUUGGUCACAGCAACCCCAUGCAUCACUAUAGACAUGAGGCAGCUGGAAAGCUAUAUGGAGGAAAAGGUUCUGGAGGUAUUAGUAGACAGCCAGCUGAACGUGAGCCAGCAGUGUGCCCAGGUGGCCAAGAAGACCACCAGCAGGAGCAGGGAGGUGACCAUCCCUCUGUACUCAGCUCUGGUGAGGCUGCACCUUGAGUGCUGUGUUCAUUUCUGGGCCCCUCACUACAAGAAAAACAUCAUGGAUCUGGAAGAUGGGGCCUGUCUGAAUUAGGGAUUUAAUUUCCCUGUAAAUUCUGUGGGAAGAGCUAGGUGCAUUUACAGACCCAAAUCCCCUGCAUAAAGUGGGAAGCCUACUCAAACAUAUCAACAUGGCACAUGACCUGUCUCAGAGGCUGAAGCAGGAACUAUUGCUGAAGCUGUCUGUCAAUACCAGUGUUAAAGGUGAGGCAAUCACCACUGCUACAGACCGUAGGCAGAAAGCCAUGGCUGCACCUUAGACCUGCUGUUUACAGCUGUUCACCAGGAUGUGAGUCCUUCACUUUUGUCUGGAGAAAGAUGGGAUGCACAACUCUGAUUUGAGGGAGGAAUGGUUUUGGGGAUGGAAGGGACCUCUAUAGAGUAAUUGCUUUUCAGUUUGUGUCGUGCUGACAGGAGUGCAAAAGUUGUGGAGUCAGGAGGAGAGCAAAUGUGAAAGAGCCCAACCAGGACCCAGUGGCCAGGACAGUGCACUGAGAGAAGUGGGACUGGGGCUUGUCUCCUGGUUUGACAUCCCUCCUUCUUGGAAAACCAAGGUACAACAUUUUUUUUUUCUUCUUGUAAAUACUUACACUGAGCAAGAAUCGGUUAUUGCGUUACAGUAUGAUAAAACAUUUCCUGGGCUAGUGUUGAGUGCUGCAACAGGUCAUACAAGGGCUUAGAAGAUGUUGUUUCCCAGAAGAGAAGGAACUAAUUUUCAUAGCUCUUUCAGUGCUGUUGUUUGCUGUAACAUAGAGAUUUAAUGUUAUGAAAGCAACAUUGCUAAGGUAGCUCAGUUAAGCAUACAGAAAAUAAAAGAUGUGCCACUGUGUACUGUUGUUUUUGUACAGACAGCAGCUUUAGUACUGGAGAGCAGUAAAUUGCCUGGAAUGAUAUUAAGUCUUGGAACACUGUGCUAAUGCCAGUUUGCACUUGCAUAACCCCCAGGGCAACAUCAAUGGGCCAACGGCUGUGGUUCUGUUCAGUAAGUAGGUAUGAGAAGUUUUUUUCCAUCAUGCACCUAUAUACCAGCCUCUGGUUCUGCCAAAGACAAUGGGCAUUUUCCUGUUUUCUUGUUGAUCUCAACAGGGACUGAGUCAGACUUUCAUGGUCACACUUACAAGCUUUCCCAGAGCCAUCUCCCAUACGAAGUUACAAAGUGCUGAACAGCAGAUAUGUUUGGGGUUGGUCCAGUGUGGCUGGUUUUGUGUUCUUUUGCUCCUACUUUCAGUAAAACAAGCAGUUUAACAGUAGAAUUUAUUUUUUAACCCAGUAAACUUCAAGCAGUUUCAUUCAAGAAACACACAUGUACAUACACACAUUUACAAACACGCAUACACUCACCAGAUAUACAUAUUUACAUAACAUCUUAUUACUGCCUCUCAGUAAGUUACUACAUAAUUGGGUAAUAAAAUGCCUCCUGCUCUAGUCAGAAUCUUUCCAUCAGAGUCGAUGAGAAUUUUCAGCUUUGUUCAUAGCGCAAAGAGUUCUUAUCCGCAUCGCUAGCCACUCUCCAGUGGCGCUCUGUGCAACACCACAGGCUGAAGCUGAGUAAAGAAAAAAGUAGCUAAAUCAAACAGUAAAAGGCGUAGGAAACCCCAGGAGGGUGAAGUGAAUACUCUGCUCUGCCCUCUUUUGUGCUUGUAUUGUGACAGUCCUUAAUUAAGUGAUUGCUGGAUGUUUUUUCCCUGUGGGAUCUGAUUUCAUUGAAUGCAUAGGAUGGAAGGACUCACUGAAUGACAGGUCUUAUGCAGGACCUUUUCAUUAUUAAUUGUGAGCUUUCAGGCCUUAUAUGCUGCCUGCUCUGGCACUGGAAGGAUUUUGAGACCCCUGAUCUCUAUGCCAUGCUCUUCUCAGGGGCAACUGAGCCCCACAACUCAAUUUUCAGGUGAGGAAAUGUAGUCUCUCUGAUGCAGGAGGGAAUCAAGAAAGGCACAGCUGGAAAAGGCUGAGAGCACUCCUGAGCUUUGCACACUGCCAUCAAGUAGAGUCAAAUAGUGCUGUAGCGUGAUCCAGACAAGCAAAGCAUGAGGAGGAGCCUUCCACAAGUGAUCCCCAAAACUCAACUACCAGCUAAGCAUCUCCUGGGAAUUCAGUGGCACAAACCUGAACCUCAUCACAAUUCAGAUCAACUCUUUGUCCCUGGUUCAUUGCUACACAACUCCCCUAUCUUGGCUCCAUGAAACUAUAGGUGUACUUGCUGGUGGCACCUCCCUGGCCUCCCAUUAGAGAAUCCUCAAUCAACCAGCAUCGCUCUUCUAUUUAUAGCAUUUCCAUUUCCCCUCUCCAUUUCCCAGUCAUCCUUUAUCCACAACUUCUUGCCAGGCCCCCUCUCCUGAGGAAUUUUUCCCUAUUAUUAGGUAGAGAAGGUUUCUCCACCAUCUUGCUCCUGUGGUUAAGGUGGUGGGGCACUCAGAAACCAGUGCCAACAAUCUCUUCUGGCUGUCAUGAGAGUCUGGGCCAUGCACUGCCCAUAGCAAGCUGAGCUGUCAGAAUAAGCUUUGCACAGAGCAUCGACUCUGUGCCUUUACAGCAUUGAGGGACAUGCUUAGUGGGCAUAGUUAUGAGGGAUUGACGGUUGGACCAGAUGAUGUUAGUGGUUUUUUCCAACCUUAAAGAUUUUAUGAUUCUUCAGGGAAUGUAACUGUUAUAACCGGAAGGACUGGAAAUAAACCUGUGUGAACUGAUUCUCUUCAAAGACUGAUACUUUGCCCAGAUGACAGUUGUCGGUGGCAAUGACAGCAAAAAGAACAGUUGACAGAAAAGACUGCCUCCGUGCCAGAUUUCAAGCUCCUGCUCUAAGCAUUGUUCCCUUUUGAAAGGGUACCAGAAUUUUGUCACAAUGAGCAAAACAGCGUGUUUUCCCCAGACUCUUUAUGAAGGAAGACUGAAUCGCUUGAAGUUAAGACAUCGGCCUGAGGCAGACAGGUAACACAGAAAACUGUUAACUUGAAGGUUAAAAUUUGGUAGAAUUCAAAGUGUCUGAGAGUGCGGGAAUUGCAUGGAGGAGUGCUUGUUAAAUGCCAUCAAUAAAAGAUAGCACAAACACCUGCAAUGCAGACUGAGACUUAGGACUCCUUGAUGGGAACCUACAUUUCUUUAAAAAGAGGAGGGGAUAACUCUGGCAAUCAUAUGGUAGACCCUGAACACUACACACUUAUGUACCCAUACAGACAUAGAAUCAUUUGAGU